rnacentral:rRNA from 1 species
UACGUAGGGGGCAAGCGUUGUCCGGAUUUAUUGGGCGUAAAGAGCGUGUAGGCGGCUAGGUAGGUCCGUUGUGAAAACUCGAGGCUCAACCUCGAGACGCCGGUGGAAACCAUCUAGCUAGAGUCCGGAAGAGGAGAGUGGAAUUCCUGGUGUAGCGGUGAAAUGCGCAGAUAUCAGGAAGAACACCCGUGGCGAAGGCGGCUCUCUGGGACGUGGCUGACGCUGAGACGCGAAAGCGUGGGGAGCGAACAGG